rnacentral:rRNA from 1 species
UCAGGACGAACGCUGGCGGCACGCUUAACACAUGCAAGUCGAACGGAGUAAUUGGAGCUUGCUUGAUUAACUUAGUGGCGGACGGGUGAGUAACACGUGAGCAACCUGCCUUUAAGAGUGGAAUAGCUUCUGGAAACGGAUGGUAAUACCGCAUAACAUUGCCGGACCGCAUGAUCUGGCAAUCAAAGAUUUUAUCGCUUAAAGAUGGGCUCGCGUCUGAUUAGAUAGUUGGUGGGGUAACGGCCUACCAAGUCGACGAUCAGUAGCCGGACUGAGAGGUUGAACGGCCACAUUGGGACUGAGACACGGCCCAGACUCCUACGGGAGGCAGCAGUGGGGAAUAUUGCACAAUGGGCGGAAGCCUGAAUGCAGCGAUGCCGCGUGGAGGAAGAAGGUUUUCGGAUUGUAAACUCCUUUUAUCAGGGACGAUAAUGACGGUACCUGAAGAAAAAGCUCCGGCUAACUACGUGCCAGCAGCAGC